rnacentral:lncRNA from 1 species
UUUAGAUCUCACAGAAGUGUAUGAUAGAUUUUAGUACAAUCUAUUUUUAUUUGAAAAGGAAUGAAUAUAAAAAAUUAAUUUUCUUCUGUUAUCCUCUAUCCUCGAGGUUUCUAAACAUGGAAAAUAUAUGUAUGCCGAAGAUGCCUUGUGAGCACUACUAAUUUCUAUCCCUGUUGAUUAUACCCAUUUUUAAAGACAAUAAAAUUAAAUUUUUUUAAGUUUUUAGAAAGUUGGUUGGAAAUGUAGACUCUCAGGCUCCAUUCUCUUUCCAGUACCCCAGGAAGGAGAGAGCACCUGGGCUGAAGUAGAUGCAGAAUCAAUGGAGAAGGAAGCAGGCAAGCAGCAGAUCUUGGGCAUUCGAGGCAGCCUGGCCGGACGGCAUCACCACUUCCCCAGGAGCACAUGGGGCCACCAUGGGUUUCUGCUCUGCCAGCCCCAACAGUUCAUCAUGGGGUACCCCCCCAGAUCAGACCAAAAGAGUUCCUAAGCAUUCCACCACAAGACAGAGUGGGGCACAAGAUAGAAAGGGAGUACCAAGAGGAAUAAACUAAUUUGGGAAGUUUCCUGAAAUUUGAAGGAAUAGAGUGUUGAUCACCAAUUUAUUCACACCAUUCCUUUUCAGCUUCUGCCUUAUUUCAUUGGUAAGAGGAUGGAGCACAGAAGAAGGGCCUCAGGAACAAGAACAAAAACUAUUUCCUGGCCCCAAAUUUAUGCUCUUUCCUCUCUGAACCAGUGUGACUUCUUCUAAACAUCUUCUUGACAAGUAGAAAGAACUUCUAGAAAUUUAAAAAAAAAAAGAAGAAGAAGCAAGAAAGAAAAGAUUGAGCUUAAAAUGUAACAGCUUUAGGAAUUUGAACAGCUCCUGCACACUGUAACAUGUUGCCUGGAGGAGGCAGCCCUGUUGGGAAUGAGACGGACUAGGGAUGGGAUACGCCUGACCAGCACCCCACUCCAACCCCUUCUAGUGUCCGAAAUGGUCAUCAAGAGGACACAGACAGACCCUGGCAAUUAGAGGCUCCCCACUUCCUCUCCAGGGCCUGGAAUGUGCAUUCCACUUGACUUCCCCACUUCCAGGAGCUGCCUCAAGGAUGCACCCUUGAGAUAGAAAUGUGGUAUUGAGGCUGUGUGGACUGGGUACAUGACUGAACCCAUUUAAGUCAGGUGUGGAGAGGCCUCAUAAGUUCCCCCAUUCAUUAAAACUGCCACUUACCAAUCUGGAAUGGUCUGCCUCUUUCUUCUGACUCUCCUACCUUCCACAGAUGGGGUCCAGUUUCACACUACACCCAGGAAGCCCUGAGGAGGUUACAAACCAACAAUUUCUAAAGGUUCUCCUUUUGGUAUUCGUAUUCCCCUGGGAGUCUGCUCUUU